rnacentral:rRNA from 1 species
GACGAACGCUGGCGGCGUGCUUAACACAUGCAAGUCGAACGGAAAGGCCCCUUUGGGGGUACUCGAGUGGCGAACGGGUGAGUAACACGUGAGUAACCUGCCCUUGACUUCGGGAUAACUUCAGGAAACUGGGGCUAAUACCGGAUAGGAAUCCUUGCUGCAUGGUGGGGGUUGGAAAGCUUCGGGGGUUUUGGAUGGACUCGCGGCUUAUCAGCUUGUUGGUGGGGUAGUGGCUUACCAAGGCUUUGACGGGUAGCCGGCCUGAGAGGGCGACCGGCCACAUUGGGACUGAGAUACGGCCCAGACUCCUACGGGAGGCAGCAGUGGGGAAUAUUGCACAAUGGGCGGAAGCCUGAUGCAGCAACGCCGCGUGCGGGAGGACGGCCUUCGGGUUGUAAACCGCUUUCAGCAGGGGCGAAGCUUGUGGUGACGGUACCUGCAGAAGAAGCACCGGCUAACUACGUG